UAGGGAAUUUUCGGCAAUGGGGGAAACCCUGACCGAGCAACGCCGCGUGAAGGAAGAAGUAAUUCGUUAUGUAAACUUCUGUCAUAGAGGAAGAACGGUGGAUAUAGGGAAUGAUAUCCAAGUGACGGUACUCUAUAAGAAAGCCACGGCUAACUACGUGCCAGCAGCCGCGGUAAUACGUAGGUGGCGAGCGUUAUCCGGAAUUAUUGGGCGUAAAGAGGGAGCAGGCGGCACUAAGGGUCUGUGGUGAAAGAUCGAAGCUUAACUUCGGUAAGCCAUGGAAACCGUAGAGCUAGAGUGUGUGAGAGGAUCGUGGAAUUCCAUGUGUAGCGGUGAAAUGCGUAGAGAUAUGGAGGAACACCAGUGGCGAAGGCGGCUUCCUGGUCUGUAACUGACACUGAGGCGCGAAAGCGUGGGGAGCAAACA
rnacentral:rRNA from 1 species